CUUUGGAGGAGGGAUGGCGUGUCAAUCCAUGUCUUCACGGCUCUCUUGGCUCAGUGAGGCACGCAGGAAACAUGGAAAAGUUUGCAGUUGAGAGUUGUGCCGCGCUUUUGAUGAAUAACAAUACAACACACGACAUCGUUUUCAACACACCCCAUGGCUUCCUGGGGUAAAGGGGAUGUUGCUUUUUAAAACUACAUGCAACACGUCGAUUGCAGUUUUCCAGACCUCUCCCGUGAUUAGAUCAGAAUGGGAUCCUUGUGUGCGUGAGUCGAGACACUGUGUGUGUGCAUUUUUGUCACAUAUUAUCUUAUCAUUUUUCCUCCUUCUCCUCCUUUGUCCUCGCUCCUCUCCUCAUUCUUUCUGCCGGUUAAUAUUUCAUUUGCUCUGCCGUGGUAGAGGGCUGGUACAUUAACCAGCGGUGCCAGUCGAGCUCUCUGCUUGUGGCUGGCUGUAUAAAAAUAAACACACUCUAGUUGUAAUGAACAGAUGUCACAGAAUUUAAACGUGCAUACCCCCCUCCUCCUCCACACACACAAACACACUUCACCCUUCUCUCCCACCUCCUCAUUCUUGCUCACGCGUAAAGGCGUACAUGCAUGCAUGCACACACUCAUGCAUCAACAUGUUUUCAGAAACACAGAUAGAAAUAUAGAGCUGCAGGAUCAGAACCCGUGUCCAUAUGAGUGCAUAUUGAUCAUACACGGAAACUCUUAUACAUUUAUUAGCUUUCCUUAAUAGAAGAGCACGCAUGGCAAGCAUUGUGUUGCUCUGCCAGUCUUUCAUUCUCAUUAUCCGCCUCUAUUUCCCCCUUUCUCCUCCUCCAACAGCAGGCGAACACUGAGGUCAUUUUACAGACUAUUUUCAUGAAGUCCUCCUAUCCACUUUGCAGAAUUCGCAUGUCAUCCUUUAGUCCCCAGCGGCACCAUCAGAACUAAUUUUGGUACUGUGAGGAAAGGAUAGGCACGGGUGUGUGUGUGUGUGUGUGUGUGUGUCCAUCCCCCUUGUCACUCCCGAUCUUUUCCCACUGAGCGUGUGCCAGCUCUCUGUGUUUGCUGGCUGACAGGACCGAAGGAGAGACGAUUGUUCUCCACGUAGCCAGAGACCCUCCCCUGCCAAGUCCGGGAUGAAAUCCUCGCUAACUCCUCACAGUCGGGCAUCUCACAGCAAAGCACACACCAUUACUGCUCCGGGCGGGAGGAUGCCGCUUAAAGUCAGUCAGACACACAAAGGUCUGCUUUAAAGUAACACUGCAUAAAGAUCUUUAUGUCGUUCGUCAAGUAUUUGUCGUUUAAGCCUUUAAAUGUUUAAAAAAAUCUUGAAGACAUGGACAGACAAUUUCAGCUAACAGGUAGAUAUGGCUUGGUUCAAGUCAAGGCUCAAUGUAUUGAUCCAUAAAAACCUUUGCAAUAACCUUUAAUCCCUCACAUCCACCAACACUGUUUGCCAAAACACAAAACCCUAAAUGUCUUUUCAGGAAGAAAAAGAGUUGAUGAGUUCGUUCUGGAUUACUUCUUCAAAGUGGAGUCGUCGUUUUAGGUUUGGAGGAUAUGUGGAAAGUACCGUGGCGUUAAUGGACCGAGCAGGUCGUCUCUAUGAUGACAGAAAAGGCGGGACACGCAAGAUUAAAGGUGACGGAGAAGGAUGAAGGAGAAGGGAGAGAUGAAAGAAAAAGAGGAGAGGUGCGGAGGUCGUCCGGGGGGUGAUCAGUGAGGUGGAUGCGAUGCCAUCUGACAGGUCCAGCUGGGAGACUGCCCGCCCCCCCAGCGCUGCAAACUGGUCAAUAUGGAGGCCAAUUACUCCUGCCCAUGUGACCAGGGCAUCAUCCAACCCUAUCAUAACACACGCGCACGCCCACACGCACGCUCACAUGCCAUCUGUGCAGACCAGCAAAGCAACGAGCCCCCCCCCUCGAAUCCAGUUGCGUCCCCGUGCACGCUCCUACUUAACCUCCUAAACAGGGGCCAGCCACGCCCCACCGCCGGACCCACCGACCGGAACGUACCGGAACUGGGCAUCCAGUGAAGAUGACGGAGAGCUGCCGGUGAGGUCAAGAAGACUUUCUCACAAACUCUCCGAACAAACACGUAUUGCGCGUCAACAUCUGGCCACCCGCCAAAAGCCCGAAACCUACCUGGCGCUCACCCGGAUCUCCACCUCUGCCUCCCCCCCAUGGUCGCCCCCUUUACCCCCCAACCUCCUCUCCCCUCCUCCCACGCCCUCCUCCUGCAGCCCUUGUUUCUCCCUUGGCAGGACCUCCAGCAUCUCUCUCUCAGUUUAGCUUCUGCCUCGUCUUCUGCCCCACUGCCCGCGCUGCAGCGUGCACCAUUGUGUGAUAACAAACAGAUGUUGUGGAAUUUCCUCUGAAUGGACUGCCAGUGACAGGCUCGCUCCCUCGCCUGGCAGUGUGGGGGCCAUGGCAUACAGUCUGGCAGAGAGGUUGGCCGAAGCCUGCACGAUUGUUUCCUUUGUGCAUGCGCAACAUUAUAGUUUGCAGUGCAGGUCAGAGAAGUUAACAAUGUGCAAUCUUUGGAGACAUUAAUUAUUCAAAUUGCGUGUGGUGUGUGUGUUGUAUUUUAAAAAAAUCUCAUCUGUGUCCAUUUCAGCUGCAUUGCUUCAUGUUUUUUUUGUAUCACUGUCUGAUUGCAAAUACUCACAAUCUCGUCACUAAAUUAUUUUACUCCCCUCUCCUUGAAACCCAUAAAGGCCUUUAUUCACCACAUAUUUUACAUCUAUAUUAUGAUUUGAUAUAUGCAUUUUGCAAAAACACUCGGUUAUUAUUUUAGCUAGACGUUAAUUGGAAUUCACACCAUAAUACUUGUGACAUUUUGAUAAUCGCACUAUUGACUGUUAUGUCGGACAAACACUCUUUUUUUCCUUACCAAGUUGAGUGAGAAAAAGAGUGGGCAUGAACAUGAUAAUUUAAACAGCGAGAUUCAUUCACUCACUUUUCAUCCUGAGUGCAGCACAGAGUGUCAUUGGAAGUUUUUUUAAUUUUAUUUCUUAAGGCUGACUGCAAAUGCGAGUUAAUAGUCAGACUUAUAUUUCCACAAUUAUGACAAAGUAUGGUAAAGUAUUAGAUGAGGAACUUCAUCGGUGCAAAAUAGGGAAAUAAUUCGUUUGUGGAAAUCGAUAAAAUGGUGGGAUCAGCCUAUAAAUCCCUCAGCUAGUGAUCUAAUUUACUAAACACCUGUGAAUUCCUUCAUUGGUAUUAUCAAUAAACAAUAAUAUGAUCUCUUCAUUGAAUAUGUGUGUGGCGUAUCUUUCUAACUGACGUUUUAGGAUA